AGACGCAUCGACUGCUCUUCUUGUGCCCCUGCUGACAUUCCCAAGAGAUCAAUAUCCUGUAAAAGCCUGAAGAUUGCUUCCUUUAAAUGGUCUUAUUUGGAAAAACUUAAGAUUUGAUCAUAGAUCUAUUUUAAGAAGUGCCAAGUUAACUGACAUUGAUGCCAUCGUAUCUGGAGUCCCUAGGAAAUCCAGAGGGGGACAAUGAGCCGUAGGAAGACUCGGACUCGGGUCUGCCUGUAGCACUCGGAGCCUGCAAGGCAACAUAGUUAUUGAGUUCUAUUAAAAUUACUUGGUGUGGCUAUAAACCAAACCACACCCCUCUAGCCAAUGUGAAGAGCUUCCCGUAAAAGCCGUGCGGUGGGAAGGCCUCUCGCUGUCUCCUCUGCGCGGCAGGCGGACAUGGACGACACCGAGGCGUGAGUUCAGCCUGCACCUCCUAAAGAUGAGCUGUUGAGGGCGAUGGCCACAGCAAGUCCGCACCAAGUGCUCUUUAAACAUGAGUGUUUCUUUAAACAAAGAACCUUCCCGGCAUUGCCUCCCGAGGUCUGAUUAAUGAUGCCCCGGCACCUCCUUCCUCACUCAGGGAUCACUUCCCUGCAGCGCGUUCCCAGACGCAGGCCUCCCUCACGGAGGCGGGAAGAUUUCAGGCGAUGUCUGUGCUUGUCUUUUGUCAGCACGGACAAGGAUGGAGACCCCAAUGGGUCAGGCGAGCCCCGCGGUCCCUGUUCCUCACUUCACCACCUGGGGAAGCCUGAUCCCCAUCGAUUCGCAAAGGAACAAGGAAAGAACACAUUUUACCUGGAUGGAUGGUCCCCCUCACGGUGGCCUUGGAACCCGCUUCAGCGGGAGAGGCAGCGCCUCACUCAGGGCUCCCGCUGGCCGCUGCUUUACCCGGGAGCGCCACCCCGUGCCCCGCCAGAGGAAGUGCAAGCGCCAGCACAGCACGGGCCGAAAGCCACACUGUGGGACCCGCAGCGCAGCUCCAAGAAAUCCAAAGUCCAUUCGCAAGAGGAGCUUCUCCGCCAAAUCGUUGAAAAAUAAAACGAGAAAUGAGUCUCCACCGGUAUCCGCUUUAGUCAGCCGUACGAAAACGCAACCCGGUCAGCUGCAUUUCUGCUGCCGGCCCUCCUCCAGUCAAGCACCGGCCUCGAGAAGGGCAAAGGGCAGGUAGGAGUUCCGACGCAUGCGGCCACGGGGCGGAGUCACAGUUCAGAGGCCUCAGCUGAACCUGAAGUUAUCCUAAGCUCGAGCCCCAGAGUGAGGACUCGGGGUCAGGCAUCCGAUUCCCCAUCAGCUCCUUUACUAAAGCUGUGCAGAGAAUCCGAGGCUGUGAGUGGGGGUGGGGGAAAGAUGUACAGGAUGCUUCGGUUUCACUCCUGAGAUACGAGAGCGUCCUCUGAACACACAUGCAGAUAGCUGGGCUUCUAGACAGAGGAAAUCCAAACCGUUUCUUUCCUCCCAGCAUAAGGGAACGAUCCGGUAAGAGCUGGUGUUUAUCGAUGCUACGUGCCAGAAUGGGGCUGAGCACCGCGCCUCACUGUAUCCGACGUCUGUCUAAUGAGGCAGGGAAUGUCACUGUCACACUCUGCAGACGAGGAAGCCAUGCUGUCAGCAGGUACACAUCUUGCCACAAAACCAGUAACCUGUGGCACUGAGAUCGCACACCGGUCGUCCACUGCCAAGUCCGUGGCCUCCUUCUCUGGGGUUUGCCUGCCUCUUGAUGGCGGCCAUGCCUCUGUCCUCUCACAGGGGCUGGCUCUUCCAGUGGUCACUACUUUUUGGUUGCAAGCAGCAGAGAUUCCCUGGAGGGCUUGUUGAAAGCACUCACAUCAACGGGGCCUCAGAAAGGGAGCUGAGGCCAUGCACGGCGCUGCAGUUUCUCCUCAGGCUUUGGUUUGCAUCCCUGGCCUGACUUUCCCUCAACAAGUCCUGCUAUCUCCACAAGGCGGCCAGCCCAGCCCUGUCCUCCUCACCUUCCAGCCCCAGCUGAGCAGCCCCUCCCCACAUCAUCUUCAGCUGCUGCCCAGGCUCCGCAGAGCAGGUGCCCACCGCCCAUCCAGCCGUUGUGUCUAGAGGGCAGAGCGACCUGCCGGGACCUUGACAACACCUGGCCCCACCCACACGUCCUGCAAUAUUCACUGAGGAGUGCACAGCAGCACAUAUGUGCCUCAUGUGUCCUGCUGUGAUGCGCCGAGUGGCACACAGCAUUAUUGUGUCAAUCAUGUGUCUUGAUGUGAUGCACUGGUUCCGACAGUAUCAUGGAUGCAGUGUUUCUUUAAAACUGUCAAAUUUGAGGAAACAAUCUAACAAAAGCCAAUUGAUGAAUAUUCUGUAAAGGUGACAUAAAUACUUCAAAAAUGUCUCUGACAUAGAAAGAAAAAAACAAAAAGGGAGCUAUUCCAGAUUUUAAAAAUAAAAGAUAUAGUAACU
rnacentral:lncRNA from 1 species